rnacentral:rRNA from 1 species
GGAUUAGAUACCCUGGUAGUCCACGCCGUAAACGAUGAUUACUCGUUCUUGCUAUUUAUAGUAGGGGCUAAGCGAAAGUGAUAAGUAAUCCACCUGGGGAGUACGAUCGCAAGGUUGAAACUCAAAGGAAUUGACGGGGGCCCGCACAAGCGGUGGAGCAUGUGGUUUAAUUCGAUGAUACGCGAGGAACCUUACCAGGGCUUAAAUGUAGAUUGCAUGGCGUGGAAACAUGCCAGUCUUCGGACAAUCUACAAGGUGCUGCAUGGCUGUCGUCAGCUCGUGCCG